UUGACAUCACCGCCGACGUUUGUCAUUUGCCGGUUGUUUGUUUGUUAUUUUAUCAUAUACAAUGUUGAUUCAACUCCAAUGUGAGCUAAUGGUGGAAUUUAUGCAAAAAUUGGAAUAUUUGUGGGACCAGUCCAAUAUUACUGGGAGCAGUGGGCCUACUGUAUUCCUACCACACCACUCACUGUUCCUCACGAAGUCUACCCUUCGCCAGCGCCUCCACCAACACCACCGAUCCUCCAUCCGAGGAAGAUAGCUGGAAUCCUCCACCAGUGAAAAAACCUAAAGCGAGUUUGAUUAAAAUGUGUAUAGAGAAUGACAAGAAUGCUAUGCUAAGGAGCGUGAGAAAGCGUCUCCCCUAAUAAAAUGGAAUUAAAUUAAUUAAAUAAAUUGUAAAAAUCCACUUUGCUGUGCCCGACAGGGUCCAUAAUUGAUUCUAUGUUUAACAUACCAACUGUUUUUAUGUACACAUUAUGGCAUGCAAUAAAGUAUUGAGUAUUGAGAAA